AACUUAAAAAUAAAACACAAACACACACACAAGAGUAUGUGUGCGUGUGUGAGGAUCGACCAGGAAGAGCUUUAGGGAGCUCAAACCCUAACUUCAACAAAUCCAUCAAAUUGAAGGUCAAAUCUGGUCCAAAUCGGAUGCAUGAACACAUAUUAAUGAUCACCAAGUCGUGGGGAUCACAAGUUUGACGCUCAACGAGCUAGGUGAAAGGCUUGGGGAAGGGAGCGGGUCAAACGAAUCAAGAAUGAAGGAAAAAGCAUAAUUCGGAUGCAAGGUGUAAAUGUCAAAUGGGUAUUAGCAACGCUAUGAAUUAGCGGUUAUAAAAGCAAGGUAUUAAAAACGGGUCAAUAGAUUGAUCUGCGCCAGGUAUGUGAAAUAGGGUAACACUCAUUUAGAACAUGUGGUUCAAGAGUGUUAAAAGAGGUCAAAUGGACAUUUGGUUACUUGAUAAGUAAACCAAAUGUUUUAAGUAAUGAACAUAGCGUUUGGAAAGCUUAAUGACUUUUCAAACAAAAUCAUAGGUUAAAAGAGGGAUUAUGGGUCAAAUAUACUUUCAAAAGUCCUUCAUUGUUAA